rnacentral:lncRNA from 1 species
GCCAUGAUCUUUUGGAAAUACUGUAAAAUAAAUUCAUAAAAAUCUCUUUAUGUCGCUUUCAAACUUUCUCAUUUUCUUUCGAUGAAAUACGUAUCCUGCAAUGUGGCACUUUGUGCUGUGCGUGGCACUUUGCGGCGCUCUGGCCCUCAAGAGGUGGCCCCCGCAUAGUCCCAAGAGGUGGCCCCCACACAACUUCAAGAGGUGGCCCCCAAUGCAAAAUCUCAUAAAACAGAAAUUCCGUUUGCUAAAAUCCACUUUCUCAUUCAUAGAAAACUCAAUGCAUUUUCGUGCUCAUGCCAAUGAACCAUCACACAUACAUAUGCCCAUGUACAUAAUCACGUUCAACACAUGCCAACACAUCACAUAAACACAUGGGCAAAGACAUUUAAAUCCAUAUCCGUAUAUAUAUCAAAAUAGGCUUUUCACACAAGUCAAACAUAUAUAUUGUUUAGUGUGAUUCGUUUUAAAGUCUAGUUUACUUACCUCUUGGCA